GGCGUACUGCUCUUCACGACAGAAGGUUUAACAUCCCCGGGGCCUUAUUGAUCUCUAAGGGAACUGUCCCUGAGGAGGCUCGAGGGCUUCUUCAUAUGGUGCCCACCUACGUUGUAGGUUCCCGGGAUCAAUCGCUUCAUCGGUCGCUGUGGUUCGCCG
rnacentral:other from 2 species